rnacentral:rRNA from 1 species
GAUGAACGCUAGCGACAGGCUUAACACAUGCAAGUCGAGGGGCAGCAGGGGAGUAGCAAUACUCCCGCUGGCGACCGGCGCACGGGUGAGUAACACGUAUGCAACCUGCCCUUGUCAGGGGGAUAAGCGGAAGAAAUUCCGUCUAAUACCGCAUAAUGCUGCGGGGAGACAUCUCCCUGCAGCCAAAGAUUUAUCGGACAAGGAUGGGCAUGCGGCGCAUUAGCUUGUUGGCGGGGUAACGGCCCACCAAGGCGACGAUGCGUAGGGGUUCUGAGAGGAAGGUCCCCCACACUGGUACUGAGACACGGACCAGACUCCUACGGGAGGCAGCAGUGAGGAAUAUUGGUCAAUGGCCGGGAGGCUGAACCAGCCAAGUCGCGUGAGGGAAGACGGUCCUAUGGAUUGUAAACCUCUUUUGUCAGGGAGCAGAAACUGCCACGUGUGGCAGGAUGAGAGUACCUGAAGAAAAAGCAUCGGCUAACUCCGUGCCAGCAGCCGCGGUAAUACGGAGGAUGCGAGCGUUAUCCGGAUUUAUUGGGUUUAAAGGGUGCGUAGGCGGACAGUUAAGUCAGCGGUAAAAUUGAGAGGCUCAACCUCUUCCCGCCGUUGAAACUGAUUGUCUUGAGUGGGCGAGAAGUAUGCGGAAUGCGUGGUGUAGCGGUGAAAUGCAUAGAUAUCACGCAGAACUCCGAUUGCGAAGGCAGCAUACCGGCGCCCAACUGACGCUGAAGCACGAAAGCGUGGGUAUCGAACAGGAUUAGAUACCCUGGUAGUCCACGCAGUAAACGAUGAAUACUAAUUGUUCGGGUCAAAUGAGAUCUGAGUGAUACAGCGAAAGCGUUAAGUAUUCCACCUGGGGAGUACGCCGGCAACGGUGAAACUCAAAGGAAUUGACGGGGGCCCGCACAAGCGGAGGAACAUGUGGUUUAAUUCGAUGAUACGCGAGGAACCUUACCCGGGCUCAAACGACACAGGAAUGAUCUGAGAAAUCAGGCAGUCCUCCGGGACCUGUGUCGAGGUGCUGCAUGGUUGUCGUCAGCUCGUGCCGUGAGGUGUCGGCUUAAGUGCCAUAACGAGCGUAACCCCCAUCGACAGUUGCCAGCAGGUCAAGCUGGGCACUCUGUCGAGACUGCCGGCGCAAGCUGUGAGGAAGGCGGGGAUGACGUCAAAUCAGCACGGCCCUUACGUCCGGGGCGACACACGUGUUACAAUGGCAGGUACAGCGGGAAGCCACCUGGCGACAGGGAGCGGAACCCGAAAGCCUGUCUCAGUUCGGAUUGGAGUCUGCAACUCGACUCCAUGAAGCUGGAUUCGCUAGUAAUCGCGCAUCAGCCACGGCGCGGUGAAUACGUUCCCGGGCCU